CCGGAAAUAGCCGAACGGUAUAGGCAAGCAUCUUAAACAUGCUAAUUUCUGAGUUCGAAUCUCAGUUUCCGGACCA
rnacentral:tRNA from 1 species